UACGGAGGAUGCAAGCGUUAUCCGGAAUUAUUGGGCGUAAAGCGUCCGCAGGUGGCAAUGUAAGUCUGCUGUGAAAGAGUCUAGCUCAACUAGAUAAAAGCAGUGGAAACUACAUAGCUAGAGUUCGUUCGGGGCAGAGGGAAUUCCUGGUGUAGCGGUGAAAUGCGUAGAGAUCAGGAAGAACACCGGUGGCGAAGGCGCUCUGCUAGGCCGUAACUGACACUGAGGGACGAAAGCUAGGGGAGCGAAUGGG
rnacentral:rRNA from 1 species